rnacentral:rRNA from 1 species
GACGAACGCUGGCGGCGUGCCUAAUACAUGCAAGUCGAACGCAGUGGGGACGGGUGAGUAACCCGUGGGUAACCUCCCAUCAGAGGGGAUAACACUUGGAAACAGGUGCUAAAUCGAUUCUGAUGGAUGGACCCGCUGUGCAUUAGCUAGUUGGUGAGGUACCGGCUCACCAAGGCCACGAUGCAUAGCCGACCUGAGAGGGGUGUCGGCCAGACUGGGACUGGGACACGGCCCAGACUCAUAAGGGAGGCAGCAGUAGGGAAUCUUCGGCAAUGGACGAAAGUCUGACCGAGCAACGCCGCGUGAGUGAAGAAGGUUUUCGGAUCGUAAAACUCUGUUGUUAGAGAAGCGGUAUCUAACCAGAAAGCCACGGCUAACUACGAGCCAGCCGCCGCGGUAAUUC